rnacentral:rRNA from 1 species
UACGGGGGGAGCAAGCGUUGUUCGGAUUUACUGGGCGUAAAGGGCGCGUAGGCGGUCGUGACAAGUCACUUGUGAAAUCUCCGGGCUUAACUCGGAACGGUCAAGUGAUACUGUCGGACUAGAGUACAGAAGGGGCAACUGGAAUUCUCGGUGUAGCGGUGAAAUGCGUAGAUAUCAGGAGGAACACCAAUGGCGAAGGCAGCUCUCUGGUACAUGAUUGACGCUGAGACGCGAAAGCGUGGGGAGCGAACAGG